UACGUAGGUGGCAAGCGUUGUCCGGAAUUACUGGGUGUAAAGGGAGCGCAGGCGGGAGGCCAAGUCAGCUGUGAAAACUACGGGCUUAACUUGUAGACUGCAGUUGAAACUGGUUUUCUUGAGUGAAGUAGAGGUUGGCGGAAUUCCGAGUGUAGCGGUGAAAUGCGUAGAUAUUCGGAGGAACACCGGUGGCGAAGGCGGCCAACUGGGCUUUAACUGACGCUGAGGCUCGAAAGUGUGGGGAGCAAACAGG
rnacentral:rRNA from 1 species